rfam:Triticum aestivum genome assembly, contig: Triticum_aestivum_CS42_TGACv1_scaffold_220750_3B
AAAAUACUUCCUCCGUCCCAAAAUUCUUGUCUUAGAUUUUUCUAAAUACGGAUGUAUCAAGUCACAUUUCUGUAUUAGAUACAUCCGUAUCUAGACAAAUUUAAGACAAGAAUUUUGGGAUGGAUGGAGAUAUCAU